UUUUACUAUUCAUAUAUACGUAUUUUACUAUUUAUGUAUACGUAUUUUACUAUUCAUGUAUACGUAUUUCUAAAUAGUAUUUUUUUUCAAUUAUUAGAAUUUGAAUAGGAAAUGGCUGCGGUGGAAUGCAGAGGCUGCGGAAUUCAAUUGAAUUCCAAUUCUAUUUAUUUGAAUAUUUUAAUAAAAAGUAACUUUUAAUAUAUAAUAAUGAAAUAAUAUUAUUUUAAUCUAUGCAUAGUAACUUCAUAAAUUCUAUAAAUAGGAGUUUAAGGUUUUUGGAAAUUCAUAAUUUUAGAGAGAAGAAAUUCUAGAGAAAUAAAAAGAGAGAAUAAGAGAGGAGGUUCUGCUCUAAUUCCGGUCCCGAUUUAAGAAAAAGAGGAGGAGGUUCUGCCCAAGUUCCUAUUCAUCCAGGUGGAGAGGAUCCAACUGCAAGUGGUAUAUAGAAUGCCAUCCGUUAAUUUGGGAAAUGCUCUGAUAGUGUGACAUCGGGGCAAGAGGAUCUCUAGGAUAGAAUAUUUGGUAUUGUAAUAAAUGUUAUUUUCUUUGAAAAAUGUGUAAACUCUUGAAUUUUAUCUUUCAAGUUUUAUUUUUCAGUCAGAACA